rnacentral:lncRNA from 1 species
CACCACACACAUACCACACUACACACUACACACCACACACUACACACAUACCACACUACACAGUACACACCACACACUACACACACCACACUACACACUACACACCACACACACUACACACCACACACACCACACACUACACACGCACCACACUACACACUACACACCACACACUACACAUACACCACACUACACACUGCAGACACACCACACUACACACUACACACAACUACAUACACACACCACACAGUACAUACCACAUACCACACCCUACACACAAACACACACUACACACUACAUGCUAUGCACACACACCACUCACUGCACAGACUACACACUAGAAACAUCACACACUACACACCACACCACACACCACACACUCCACACCACACACCACACACUGCAGACACCACACACACCACACAGCAGACACCGCCCACACCACACACACACUCCACACACACACUCCACACACCCUCCUACCCCCGACACACUCACAGUGCCCCUGUUGGACCUGUGCUCACUGUGAACCCUGAGUCGCG